rnacentral:rRNA from 1 species
CGAAGAGUGACUAGCUAACUGAAAUCAAUUAAAAAUUGAUAACAUAAGGGAAAAUAAUGAUAUUACCUUAUUAUUAGUGUCGUCCAAAACUGGUGCCAGAAGACUCGGUAAGGCCAGAGACACAAACGUUAAUCGUCUUAAUCAGGCGUAAAGGGUUUGUAGGCGGCUUUAAAAUUUAUUUAAAAUAAUAUUAAGUAAAGAAUAAAAGCUAGAAUCAAAUAGAGGAUAUAUGAAAGAAUGCUUAGAGUAGGUCUGAUAUCCUUAGAUACUAAGUAGAAUAUUAAAGGCGAAAGCUUUUUUCCAUUAAUGAUUGACGCUCAGAAACGAAGGUGAGGAUAGGAAAUAGGAUUAGAUACCCAGAAUACCCCUCUCUGUCAACGAUGAAUGGUAGUUAUUAAUAAGAAUUAUUAAUGGCAAUGUUAACACGAUAACCAUUCCGCCUUGUGAGUACAACUGCAAAGUUGAAAACAAAAAAAUUAGUCGGUUUCGGAGCAAACGAAGUGAAGCAUGUUAUUUAAUUCAAUAAUUCCGCGA